rnacentral:ribozyme from 1 species
AGAAUUUGUUGUUUUUUGUUUCUCCUUUUUCUUUUUUCUCUCUCUCUCUCUCUCCACUUUGCACGAAUUUAUCUGAA